rnacentral:rRNA from 1 species
UACAGAGGUCUCAAGCGUUGUUCGGAUUCAUUGGGCGUAAAGGGUGCGUAGGCGGCGCGGUAAGUCGGGUGUGAAAUCUCGGAGCUUAACUCCGAAACUGCAUUCGAUACUGGCGUGCUUGAGGACUGGAGAGGAGACUGGAAUUCAUGGUGUAGCAGUGAAAUGCGUAGAGAUCAUGAGGAAGACCAGUGGCGAAGGCGGGUCUCUGGACAGUUCCUGACACUGAGACACGGAAGGCCAGGGGAGCAAACGGG